AUACGGGGGGAGCAAGCGUUGUCCGGAAUCAUUGGGCGUAAAGGGCACGUAGGCGGUUUCUUAAGUCGAAUGUGAAAUCUCACGGCUCAACCGUGAAACUGCGUUCGAAACUAAGUGACUUGAGUUUGGGAGAGGUGUACGGAAUUCCUGGUGUAGCGGUGGAAUGCGUAGAUAUCAGGAAGAACACCAAUGGCGAAGGCAGUACACUGGCCUGAAACUGACGCUGAGGUGCGAAAGCGUGGGGAGCAAACAGGAUUAGAUACCCGGGUAGUCC
rnacentral:rRNA from 1 species